UUACUCUUCUUAAAUAAUAAUUAUUUAUUUAUUUAUUGCUUUUUAUAAUUUUCCAUUGACAUGUCCAUCUUAGGCACAUACAGAUAUUCACAUACACACUGUACAUUCAUUUAUAUUUACAUGUGUA